UACGAAGGGGGCUAGCGUUGCUCGGAAUGACUGGGCGUAAAGGGCGCGUAGGCGGUUUGUACAGUCAGGUGUGAAAUUCCCGGGCUCAACCUGGGGGCUGCACUUGAUACGUAGGAACUGGAGUGGGGAAGAGGGUCGUGGAAUUCCCAGUGUAGAGGUGAAAUUCGUAGAUAUCAAGCGGAACACCGGUGGCGAAGGCGGCCUUCUGGACAGUGACUGACGCUGAGACGCGAAAGCGUGGGGAGCAAACAGG
rnacentral:rRNA from 1 species